rnacentral:rRNA from 1 species
GCUACCAUGCAGUCGAGCGGAGAGAGGUAGCUUGCUACCGAUCUUAGCGGCGGACGGGUGAGUAAUGCUUAGGAAUCUGCCUAUUAGUGGGGGACAACAUUUCGAAAGGAAUGCUAAUACCGCAUACGUCCUACGGGAGAAAGCAGGGGAUCUUCGGACCUUGCGCUAAUAGAUGAGCCUAAGUCGGAUUAGCUAGUUGGUGGGGUAAAGGCCUACCAAGGCGACGAUCUGUAGCGGGUCUGAGAGGAUGAUCCGCCACACUGGGACUGAGACACGGCCCAGACUCCUACGGGAGGCAGCAGUGGGGAAUAUUGGACAAUGGGCGCAAGCCUGAUCCAGCCAUGCCGCGUGUGUGAAGAAGGCCUUAUGGUUGUAAAGCACUUUAAGCGAGGAGGAGGCUACUUUAGUUAAUACCUAGAGAUAGUGGACGUUACUCGCAGAAUAAGCACCGGCUAACUCUGUGCCAGCAGCCGCGGUAAUACAGAGGGUGCAAGCGUUAAUCGGAUUUACUGGGCGUAAAGCGCGCGUAGGCGGCUAAUUAAGUCAAAUGUGAAAUCCCCGAGCUUAACUUGGGAAUUGCAUUCGAUACUGGUUAGCUAGAGUGUGGGAGAGGAUGGUAGAAUUCCAGGUGUAGCGGUGAAAUGCGUAGAGAUCUGGAGGAAUACCGAUGGCGAAGGCAGCCAUCUGGCCUAACACUGACGCUGAGGUGCGAAAGCAUGGGGAGCAAACAGGAUUAGAUACCCUGGUAGUCCAUGCCGUAAACGAUGUCUACUAGCCGUUGGGGCCUUUGAGGCUUUAGUGGCGCAGCUAACGCGAUAAGUAGACCGCCUGGGGAGUACGGUCGCAAGACUAAAACUCAAAUGAAUUGACGGGGGCCCGCA